CAAAUCACUUACGUUUAGCUUUCCAAUAAAUAACACUGAGACUUUUCGUGACUCUUUUCCUUUCGAAACGUAUCUUACUAUCUUAUAUUCACCUCUAUGUUCCUUCGGGAUUCACCAUUUCACAAUCUCUGUGAUUCACCUUCCAUUAGGGCUCGGCGAAACGACGGGGAUGCAUCAGUUCUGAAGGCGUCGUCGUUCCAUUCACCUCUUCCGGUUUCCCUUCUUUUUGAUCAAUGCUGCCUGAAAUCCCACCCUGCAGUUCAACCGUUGUUCCUUUAACAGUGGAUGGGUUCUGGCUGAUGGAGGUGCGUUUGGUGUUGCCGACUUGAGGAUGCGAUGACAGGGUCUUUCAUGAGGGAAACCUGAAAAGGGGGCAGAUGACUUCUUCUGUGGGGGUUUUGCUUUUGUUGCUGUUAAGCUUUGAUAGAAUGAUGCUAGAGAAGAAAUCUCUCUUCCAUUUCAACCUCGAGGAGCUUAUGGAGUUAAGUGUCAUAGAUUUAACUUCUCCAUUUUCCAACUGAUUCUAUCUGUUUCUUUUUUUCCUUCAUUUUUGUUAUGGAUAUGCAGAGUAUUAGGGAGAGGGGUUUGAAGCUUUGUUUUCUUUAAUCUGUGGAGGGUUUGAAGCUUUGUUUUCUUUAAAUUACAAAGCAUAAUAGGAAAAAUACCCAAGCUAGAGAUAGUGGAGAUGAAUGAAUUAAUUAUUUGGUUAAUCUGUGGAGGGUUAAAAAUAACAUUCCCUGAGGAAAAGAGUUUGGAAUGUUAUAUGACUGAGUAAGCAAAACAGAAUUGAAAACUGAAUGAGAGAGAAAGAGAGAGGGAGAUAGCAUAUCAUAUUUUUCUUCUCAUUUCAUUACUUCACCUUUGCUGCUAUUGUUUGUUUGUUUUUUUUCCUAUUUCUUACGAGGUAACAUGGUUCACAUCAUUUUGCUGCAUCUAUUAGCCUUUAAUUAGAAAGAGUCCUGGAAGGUUAGUUCUAUUUUUUCAGGAUAGUCCUGUAUUUCUAUGAUUGGCUCCAAAAGGUACGUGAGUUAGAAACACAAUCACACAAUAACGGAAAUGAUGUUGAAAUGAGAUUCCAAACAAAAAUUCUUACCACUUCAUAGUAUACCUUUAUUGUAUUGAUAUUUAACCAUUGCAGUUUCUAUUUUGAUUGCUAAAUUUAACCACUUAAACGGGAGUUACGUUUUAGAAAUAGAGUCACUUUUAAUUAGAAAAUGAAGGUUUCACAGUUACAAAAAUGAAUGGUCAUAAUGCAUUAAGUGUGUUUAAGGGUCAUCAUUAUUUGUUAUGUAACCAGUGAGCAUUAGCUUUGCCUAUUUAGUAUUUUUAAUUGAGGUGUUAGUGUAUUGGUUAUGAAUUAAUGUGUUAAUAUGGAGUGCCUUCUCACCUGCAUGUGUAUGAUGUACGAAUGAAGUGAAAAAAGCUUUAGAGCAUAGAGUUCCUGAUAUCACAGUCACAGUGAAUCCUAAAAAGGUAUGCUCUGUGUUAAUGCAUUGUCUGAUAAUCAAUAUUUAUAUCCACCUAAGAAAUCAAAUGUAAUAUUUGAGGCAACAUUUUGCACUUUCAAUGAGAAUAUUUUUUAUAUUUUAAGAAGGGUUUCUUUGAAAUCCGCCAAGAAGAAGGCGAGAAGUUCAUGAGCCUCGUGGUAAAUCUUAUGAUCUUAUCCUGUAAUUUGUCAAGAUUUAACGAUUGGAGGUUAUCAUGUUAAAAUACCAACCAUCAAAAAGUUUUCCAUCUUUACAAAUAAGCAAUUUCUGAGUGUAGUUUGUAGACGGUUCUUGAUUGUAAUGUUGUGGUUGGAGAUCAACUUCAAAGAAAGUCAUGCUUGCCUGGAGUUAUGAUAGAGACAUGACCCAAUGCAUAAACUGAAAAGAGAUUGGUCUAUUGCAUGGCUUUUCUUAGUGCUGUUGUAGUUCUUUAGCCAGCACUAUUCUGAUAUUUUAAGAUUGAUGUUAUUUGACAAGGACCAGUGAAAAUAAAAUUUUUAUUUCUUAGUGAAGACCUUACACAAGGGGGUUUUCUUUCUACUAGGACUGGUGCCAUCAUCUUCUACUGGAACUGAUUCCAAAUGAGCCCAUAAGGAGAUACUGUGAAGCAUACACAAGGGGAACAAGAACAUGUUUUGAUGUUAUCUUUCCAUUUCUGUGUAAAUCUAUAUUACUCUCUUUCUAUGUAAGACUUGGGCUGUUAAAAUUGGUGUUCUGCUCACUUUUUCUUAAUUUGAUUUUGCAGCUUUCACUCCCGUUUCGACUGAGGGAUGUUGUGGAAGAGUAGAUGGAUUUUGCCUAUUUUGAUCUUUAAUAAACUGAUAUUGCCUGUUUUGGAUUAUGAUGUGUGAAAUACUUUCCAUUUAACUAUUUACUUUAAGUGUGGGAAUUCCUUUCCAGGUGAACCCUAUUCAGAACUACUCUGAUUGAUAACUCUGUUAUUGAGGAGGCCAUGGGUAAGUAUGGAAUUAUGAGACCGUAUCCAUGAGAUCAUGACUGUUAGGCCUCAUUUUAAGGAGGCAAACAAAUUCCUUUGGCCAUUUAAGUUCAAGGUUCCUUUGUCGCGCUUAAAGAAGAGGAACCACCAUGUUGAAGUAGGUGAUGCCGGAAUUAGAGAGAAUUAUGUCAAUGUGUUAACCAGCGCAUGAAUUAAGUAGUGGCAAUGUCCAGAGAUUAAUUAGGGUUAAUCAAUAUUUUGUAGGCUUUAGAACAAGAUCAGACGUAAGAUUUCAUUGUUUGUCCCCAAUUUUGUCAGUUUUGUUCACCGACA